CCCUCCCCCCCCUGCGGGGAGCCCCGCGUGCAGACAAAGGGCAGGGAGGAUGUGGAUGAUGCCCCCGGUGAUGUUGCAGCCCCUGUCCUUGCCCCGCCGGUUCUUUUCCCGCUGCAGCCCGAGAAGCAGGCUCCACCUCAGCCUCUGUCUCUCCUCUCCCUGUGAGCGUGCAGUGUCGUCUCUCGAAGUGUGAAAGUUCUCUGGAAGAGUAGCUAAAAAUUACUUGUUCCAGCAAAUCAGUCAGAGGAGCACUUGAUUGCCCAGAUCAGCAGUAGAGCCAGGUUCAGAACAAAGACCUGACAUCCAAUCAGUGCCAUAGCUAUAGACCAAACCACAGUGUGAAUGUUCAGAGUCUGAGAAGAAUCAUGUGGUGUUUGUUGUCAUUUCAUUUUACAAUGUGAUGGAUUCAGAGCAAUGUCAUCUAUCGGGCAUAAAUCCACCAGGAGAAGCCUUUUGCUUUCUGAUUUUAUUGAAGCAGAAGCAGGGGGUGUGUAAAUCAAAGAACAAUCAAGAAAAUAGCUGUGACUUACCUGGUGAUCAGGGGCAGGACUAGGAGCUGUAGCUGAGUUGCCACUAAAGGGCCAGUGAGCCAGGACAGGCUUCUAUCCCUGUUCUCCAGGCGGGGAUGUGAGACAUCCCAGGAUACUGGAAGACUCCAAUUCAGGCAUGGCAAAAACUGUUGGCAACUGUACUUUCCCUUGAAUCCAGAGGCACACUUGCUUCUCCUGAUUUGCACAGACCUGUCUACAGACAAAUUUUAAUGAGACACAUCCACAUCCACAUCCUCCAUCUCAUGGUGGAGCACUUGCUCCCAGAGCCUGAACUUAGCUCACAAUAUGGUAAUGAACAGUGAGCUAAGGACUUUCCAAAUCCAGCUAGUUGAA